GUAUUGAAAGUAUAUAGCGUACAGCUGCCUUCCAAGCAGAAAGCCCUUAAAGGUCAAUACA
rnacentral:tRNA from 1 species